AUUGAACGCUAGCGGGAUGCUUUACACAUGCAAGUCGAACGAGUGGCGGACGGGUGAGUAAUAUAUCGGAACGUGCCCACUAGCGGGGGAUAACUACUCGCAAGAGUGGCUAAUACCGCAUACUACUGGAGCGUCCGAUAUCGGAUUAGCUAGUUGGUGUGGUAAAGGCUCACAAAGUCAACGAUCCGUAGCUGGUUUGAGCGGACGACCGGCCACACUGGGAUUGAGACACGGCCCCAAGUCCUACGGGAGGCAGCGGUGGGGAAUUUUGGACAGUGGGGGAAACCCUGAUCCAGCCAUGCCGCGUGUUUGAGAAGGCCCUAGGGUUGUAAAGUACUUUCAGUCGGAAGGCGUUACCGACAGAGGAAGCACCGGCUAACUCCGUGCCAGCCGCCGCGGUAAUAC
rnacentral:rRNA from 1 species